GAGAAGGAUCUCCACAGAACAGCAGAAGUGGAACAACAAGAAACAAGAUAACAGAGAUGUUCUUGGCUAAGCGUGCGGGGGUUCCUGUUACUGUGAAGAGAUUCCAUGAUCAAGCUUGUCCAGCGUGCAAGGACGCACAGCCGAUGCACAGCCGCGGUGCCUACCUACACAAGACUAAGCUUGGAGUCAGGCUCCAGAACCUUCCUCCCCUAAGUGCUCCUGCAGCACCUCCACCCACAGUCAGCAACAUGCCAGCGGCGUCCUGAACUGCAUACUUAAUGAUGAUGACACUGUUUAGUGACAUCACAGGUUCAAAGGUGGGGCUCAAAGAUGGUAGUAUUGGGGACAAUGUCCUAAACAGGAGGGCUCUAGCUGUGUAAACGGAAGGACUGUUGUUUGAUAAUAGAAGCCUCAAUCCAGCA